UCCCAAAUCCUCAACUGUCUGUUCCCUCCAUUCACUCGAGGGAGCAAUAAUGAUCCUCUGGGUAAACUUGGUGUCCUUACUAGCCGUCCUCAGAGGUGUCCAGUCUGAGGUCCAGUUGGUGGAGUCUGGAGGGGAUGUGAGAAGGCCUGGAGAGUCCCUCCGUCUCUCCUGCCAAGCCUCUGGAUUCAGCUUCAUCAGCUACUACAUGUACUGGGUGAGACAGGCCCCUGGAAAAGGGCUGGAAUGGGUGGCAUGCAUUAAUCCAAGUUCUGGUGGUACUUACUACUCGGACAAAGUGAAGGGACGCUUCACCAUCUCCAGGGACAACUCCAAAAGCCAACUCUAUCUGCAAAUGAACAGCCUGAAACUGGAGGACUCGGCAGUCUAUUACUGUAUCCAUCUGUACCCUUAG